rnacentral:rRNA from 1 species
UACGGAGGAUGCAAGCGUUAUCCGGAAUGAUUGGGCGUAAAGCGUCCGCAGGUGGCAAUGUAAGUCUGCUGUUAAAGAGUCUAGCUCAACUAGAUAAAAGCAGUGGAAACUACAUAGCUAGAGUACGUUCGGGGCAGAGGGAAUUCCUGGUGUAGCGGUGAAAUGCGUAGAGAUCAGGAAGAACACCAGUGGCGACGGCGCUCUGCUAGGCCGUAACUGACACUGAGGGACGAAAGCUAGGGGAGCGAAUGGG